CACGUAGGGCGCAAGCGUUGUCCGGAAUUAUUGGGCGUAAAGAGCUCGUAGGCGGUCUGUUGCGUCCGCUGUGAAAACUCGGGGCUUAACCCCGAGCCUGCAGUGGAUACGGGCAGACUAGAGGUAGGUAGGGGAGAAUGGAAUUCCCGGUGUAGCGGUGAAAUGCGCAGAUAUCAGGAGGAACACCGGUGGCGAAGGCGGAUCUCUGGGCCUUACCUGACGCUCAGGCGCGAAAGCGUGGGGAGCGAACAGG
rnacentral:rRNA from 1 species